rnacentral:rRNA from 1 species
GACGAACGCUGGCGACGUGCUUAACACAUGCAAGUCGAACGGUAAGGCCCUUCGGGGUACACGAGUGGCGAACGGGUGAGUAACACGUGGGUGAUCUGCCCUGCACUUCGGGAUAAGCCUGGGAAACUGGGUCUAAUACCGGAUAGGACCCUGGGAUGCAUGUCCUGGGGUGGAAAGCUUUUGCGGUGGGGGAUGGGCCCGCGGCCUAUCAGCUUGUUGGUGGGGUGAUGGCCUACCAAGGCGACGACGGGUAGCCGGCCUGAGAGGGUGACCGGCCACACUGGGAAUGAGAUACGGCCCAGACUCCUACGGGAGGCAGCAGUGGGGAAUAUUGCACAAUGGGCGCAAGCCUGAUGCAGCGACGCCGCGUGAGGGAUGACGGCCUUCGGGUUGUAAACCUCUUUCAGCUAUGACGAAGCGCAAGUGACGGUAGUAGCAGAAGAAGGACCGGCCAACUACGUGCCAGCCGCCGCCGUAA